UGCCAGAGUGUACCAGGUAGUGCUAGAGUGUACCAGGUAGUGCCAGAGUGUACCAGGUAGUGCUAGAGUGUACCAGGUAGUGCUAGAGUGUACCAGGUAGUGCCAGAGUGUAC